AACAUAGCCUUUAGCAAACCUAGUAUUAAAGGUAACGCCUGCCCAGUGAAAUUUAAACGGCCGCGGUAUCCUAACCGUGCAAAGGUAGCGUAAUCACUUGUCUUAUAAAUAAAGACCUGUAUGAACGGCUAAAUGAAUAUUUAACUGUCUCCUUUAACUUAUCAGUGAAACUGAUCUUUCAGUACAAAAGCUGAAAUAAAAAUAUAAGACGAGAAGACCCUGUGGAGCUUUAAAUUUUUACCAAUAUGCCAUUACAGCCUGUAUCUGUGGUUAAAAAUUUUAAGUUGGGGCGACUUUGGAGUAAAACAGAACCUCCAAGAACAAGGUUCUACCUAGAUCUAGGCCCACUAGCCUAACAAAUAGACCCAGUAUUACUGAUCAACGAACCAAGUUACCCCAGGGAUAACAGCGCCAUCUUCUUCAAGGAGUUCAUAUCGACAAGAAGGUUUACGGACCUCGAUGUUGGGAUCAGGACACCCCAAAUGGUGCAGCCGCUAUUAAAGGUUCGUUUGUUCAACGAUUAACAGUCCUACGUGAU
rnacentral:rRNA from 1 species